GAUGAACGCUGGCGGCGUGCCUAAUACAUGCAAGUCGAGCGAAUGGAUUAAGAGCUUGCUCUUAUGAAGUUAGCGGCGGACGGGUGAGUAACACGUGGGUAACCUGCCCAUAAGACUGGGAUAACUCCGGGAAACCGGGGCUAAUACCGGAUAACAUUUUGAACCGCAUGGUUCGAAAUUGAAAGGCGGCUUCGGCUGUCACUUAUGGAUGGACCCGCGUCGCAUUAGCUAGUUGGUGAGGUAACGGCUCACCAAGGCAACGAUGCGUAGCCGAGCUGAGAGGGUGGUCGGGCACACUGGGACUGAGACACGGCCCAGACUCCUACGGGAGGCAGCAGUAGGGAAUCUUCCGCAAUGGACGAAAGUCUGACGGAGCAACGCCGCGUGAGUGAUGAAGGCUUUCGGGUCGUAAAACGCUGUUGUUAGGGAAGAACAAGUGCUAGUUGAAUAAGCUGGCACCUUGACGGUACCUAACCAGAAAGCCACGGCUAACUACGUGCCAGCCGCCGCAGUAA
rnacentral:rRNA from 1 species